UUACCAAGGCUUGACAUAUACGAGAACGGGCCAGAAAUGGUCAACUCUUUGGACACUGGUAAACAGGUGGUGCAUGGUUGUCGUCAGCUCGUGUCGUGAGAUGUUGGGUUAAGUCCCGCAACGAGCGCAACCCUCGUUCUAUGUUGCCAGCACGUAAUGGUGGGAACUCAUGGGAUGACUGCCGGGGUCAACUCGGAGGAAGGUGGGGAUGACGUCAAAUCAUCAUGCCCCUUAUGUCUUGGGCUUCACGCAUGCUACAAUGGCCGGUACAAAGGGCUGCAAUACCGUGAGGUGGAGCGAAUCCCAAAAAGCCGGUCCCAGUUCGGAUUGAGGUCUGCAACUCGACCUCAUGAAGUCGGAGUCGCUAGUAAUCGCAGAUCAGCAACGCUGCGGUGAAUACGUUCCCGGGUCUUGUACACACCGCCCGUCAAGUCAUGAAAGUCGGUAACACCUGAAGCCCGGUGGCCUAACCCUUGUGGAGGGAGCCGUCGAAGGUGGGA
rnacentral:rRNA from 1 species